UAUUUAUCCAGUUUACAAGAUCUAUACGGUCUAUUUCAAUAAAAUAACUAAUAUGUACCUAGUUAUUAUGAAACUAUUCAAAACAAUGGUGUGGUAGUAAAAUCUAAUGAUCAGAGUGGUAACAAUGUAAUUUUGAGGACUUUGGUUUACUGGUUAGGUUGUUUUACUGACUGCAUGGUUCACUAAACGUCACAAACAUUAAUCAAACCUGGCUCCAAAAGGGCUGCAUGAUUGCGGUGGGGGACCUGGGUGGAUCGGUUUAACAGUGAAUGUCAAUGUAGAUGUUAUGGACGUUAUUGGAGUAGAUGAGUGGAGAUUUCUACCUCUUAUAAUCGUGGAUAAAGACCAUACUGGGGGAUGAAAAAAAAAAAGCCUGAAAGUGGAAGAAUACCCAGAUUGAGGAAUCGCCAAUAGAAUUAUCAGAAACCAAGAUGCCAAAUCAAAAUAUUAGGACUUACCAAUGGAAUUGGCCUUUUCUCGGGAACACAAAACUGGACACUUAAACAAAGAACCUUGAAAAA